rnacentral:rRNA from 1 species
GACAGAGGAUGCUAGCGUUAUCCGGAAUGACUGGGCGUAAAGCGUCUGUAGGUGGCUUUUCAAGUCCGCCGUUAAAUCCCAGGGCUCAACCCUGGACAGGCGGUGGAAACUACCAAGCUGGAGUACGGUAGGGGCAGAGGGAAUUUCCGGUGGAGCGGUGAAAUGCAUUGAGAUCGGAAAGAACACCAACGGCGAAAGCGCUCUGCUGGGCCGACACUGACACUGAGAGACGAAAGCUAGGGGAGCAAAUGGG